AUGGCGGCAGCCGUGCGACAGGAUUUGGCCCAGCUCAUGAAUUCGAGCGGCUCUCAUAAAGAUCUGGCUGGCAAGUAUCGUCAGAUCCUGGAAAAAGCCAUUCAGUUAUCUGGAGCAGAACAACUAGAAGCUUUGAAAGCUUUUGUGGAAGCAACUCAUGUUUUCUUAUCUUUUUUUUUUUUUUAAACAAGUGGUAAAUGAGAAUGUCAGUCUCGUGAUCUCGCGGCAGUUGCUGACUGAUUUUUGCACACAUCUUCCUAACUUGCCUGAUAGCACAGCCAAAGAAAUCUAUCACUUCACCUUGGAAAAGAUCCAGCCUAGAGUCAUUUCAUU
rnacentral:lncRNA from 10 species